rnacentral:rRNA from 1 species
UACGAAGGGGGCUAGCGUUGCUCGGAAUCACUGGGCGUAAAGCGCACGUAGGCGGAUUGCUAAGUCAGGGGUGAAAUCCUGGAGCUCAACUCCAGAACUGCCUUUGAUACUGGCAAUCUCGAGUCCGGGAGAGGUGAGUGGAACUGCGAGUGUAGAGGUGAAAUUCGUAGAUAUUCGCAAGAACACCAGUGGCGAAGGCGGCUCACUGGCCCGGUACUGACGCUGAGGUGCGAAAGCGUGGGGAGCAAACAGGA